rnacentral:rRNA from 1 species
UACGUAGGGGGCGAGCGUUGUCCGGAAUUAUUGGGCGUAAAGAGCGUGUAGGCGGUUCGGUAAGUCUGCCGUGAAAACCUGGGGCUCAACCCCGGGCGUGCGGUGGAUACUGCCGGGCUAGAGUGCGGAAGAGGCGAGUGGAAUUCCUGGUGUAGCGGUGAAAUGCGCAGAUAUCAGGAAGAACACCCGUGGCGAAGGCGGUUCUCUGGGACGGUACUGACGCUGAGACGCGAAAGCGUGGGGAGCGAACAGG